rnacentral:rRNA from 1 species
CGUAGGUGGCAAGCGUUGUCCGGAAUUAUUGGGCGUAAAGCGCGCGCAGGCGGUUCCUUAAGUCUGAUGUGAAAGCCCCCGGCUCAACCGGGGAAGGUCAUUGGAAACUGGGGAACUUGAGUGCAGAAGAGAAGAGCGGAAUUCCACGUGUAGCGGUGAAAUGCGUAGAGAUGUGGAGGAACACCAGUGGCGAAGGCGGCUCUUUGGUCUGUAACUGACGCUGAGGCGCGAAAGCGUGGGGAGCAAACAGGAUUAGAUACCCUGGUAGUCCACGCCGUAAACGAUGAGUGCUAAGUGUUAGAGGGUUUCCGCCUUUAGUGCUGCAGCUAACGCAUUAAGCAACUCCGCCUGGGGAUACGGCCGCAAGGCUG